GACGAACGCUGGCGGCGUGCCUAAUACAUGCAAGUCGAGCGGACGAAUCGAAAGCUUGCUUUUGAUUCGUUAGCGGCGGACGGGUGAGUAACACGUGGGCAACCUGCCUUGUAGACGGGGAUAACACCGAGAAAUCGGUGCUAAUACCGGAUAACACGAAAUGUCGCAUGACGUUUCGUUGAAAGACGGCGCAAGCUGUCGCUACAGGAUGGGCCCGCGGCGCAUUAGCUAGUUGGUGAGGUAACGGCUCACCAAGGCGACGAUGCGUAGCCGACCUGAGAGGGUGAUCGGCCACACUGGGACUGAGACACGGCCCAGACUCCUACGGGAGGCAGCAGUAGGGAAUCUUCCGCAAUGGACGAAAGUCUGACGGAGCAACGCCGCGUGAGCGAAGAAGGCCUUCGGGUCGUAAAGCUUUGUUGUUAGGGAAGAACAAGUAACGCAGUAACUGGCGUUACCGUGACGGUACCUAACGAGAAAGCCACGGCUAACUACGUG
rnacentral:rRNA from 1 species